GGAGACGGGGGGUGGGGGGGCCCGGGGCGGCGCGGAGCGGAGUGGGAGGGGAGUUGAGGAGGAGGGGCGUGCGGGUGAACCGAGGCCCGCGGGGAGAGGGGCAGGAGCGAGGACCCGGCGCCCUCGGCGGCUCCCACCGCCGCUCCCAGCCACAGCGAUGUCCCGUGUGGCCGCGCUGGGAAGGACCUGAGGCCCCCGCCGGCUCCGGCGUAGCUGCGGCCGCAGUGAAGCUCCAGGUCCCGCUCGCUCUCCCCUCCCCCGGAGGCUGCGCUGACCGGACAAUGGCCGCUCCUCCCCCUCCCUCCGUCAUACACCCCUCCCAAGAAGUCACAAUGGUCUCGCCCGGGAGAGCCGCGGCCAAAGCCCAGCAGCUGAUCAGCUGGGAUCCGGGCGUUCCACUUUGUUCAGCUCCUCAAAGGAAGCGAAUGGGGCUGGGAGCAAACCUAAAACGGCAGGCUCUCGCUCGGCGACGGGCCUGAGGCUUUCUUAUUCCUGGGACUUUUAAAAUCUGAGGCAACCUUACCUUCCCCCAUCCCUACGUCUGAAGAAGGGGAGCCGACUUCUGAUUACGGGGGGCGCGUUGCCCCCCACACACGUGAAUGGGGAGCUCUGACCUCGUCAGUGAUGGAAAUGGAUGAGUGACCAAAGAAGUUUGAGCCACUAAGAAAUGAGUCCUUUGGCUCCCCGUGUCUUGUGUUCGGAAACUCAUGCUGAGCUCCAGCCAAACGUAACCUGAAGGCGAUUGUUGGUGACUAAUUUCAACAGGGAGGAAUCUUGCACCAGACCGCCUGGAGAGCACCCACAGCCGAGGUCCUUAUGGGUGAACUUCUAAGUCCCUGAUACUUCCAGGAAGGAAGGUUUUCUGGGGUUUUUUAGAAAUAGCUGCUGUGUACCCCGACCCUUGUGGGGACACCAGAUCGAUUUUAUUACCAAAUGUUCUUUAAUUUCUGUAGAUACUGUUCCCGUUAGUGCUCUGCGGACUUAUUAACGUUGAUGUGGCUUCUUCUGGCAUCUAAAGAGCACGGAUCACAUUUAGCUUAGCCUCUCCCUAAAGAUGCUAUUGAUGAUGAAGACAAAUGAUGGUGAAAAGUCAAACCAUUUAAUGCUGAAUCACCCCCAAAUGUGAGUGCUGGUUUAUUUGGGAUAAACAUUUAGUUUCGACUUUGUGGAUCUUCACAAACCUUCAGUAACUAUUUCUGUCAAAAGUCCAUAGAAUGAAUGAAGCCAUACAGCACACCUAGCUCUCACUGGACUCAUACUGCCCUUAAAUCUUCACUUAAACUGACAUAAAAUUGCCACAUUUGUGGAAGACUUACAGCCGAUAAGUUUAACGAACAGAGAUUAAGUAGACUAUUGACAUCUUAAUUUUCUUUUCUAUAUUGAAAAGGAAACCCUAAAUCCAAAAGGAUAUUUUAAUAUAAAAUGUGAUUGUCAUCUUACAAA